rnacentral:rRNA from 1 species
UACGUAGGGGGCUAGCGUUGUCCGGAAUCAUUGGGCGUAGAGCGCGUGUAGGCGGUUCGGUAAGUCCGCUGUGAAAGUCGGGGGCUCAACCCUCGAAUGCCGGUGGAUACUGUCGGACUAGAGUACGGAAGAGGCGAGUGGAAUUCCUGGUGUAGCGGUGAAAUGCGCAGAUAUCAGGAGGAACACCAAUUGCGAAGGCAGCUCGCUGGGACGUUACUGACGCUGAGACGCGAAAGCGUGGGGAGCAAACAGG